rnacentral:rRNA from 1 species
GACGAACGCUGGCGGCGUGCCUAAUACAUGCAAGUAGAACGCUGAAGAGAGGAGCUUGCUCUUCUUGGAUGAGUUGCGAACGGGUGAGUAACGCGUAGGUAACCUGCCUGGUAGCGGGGGAUAACUAUUGGAAACGAUAGCUAAUACCGCAUAAAAUGGAUUAUCGCAUGAUAAUCCAUUGAAAGGUGCAAAUGCAUCACUACCAGAUGGACCUGCGUUGGAUUAGCUAGUUGGUGGGGUAACGGCUCACCAAGGCGACGAUACAUAGCCGGACUGAGAGGGUGGUCGGCCACACUGGGACUGGGACACGGCCCAAACUUCUAAGGGGGGCAGCAGGAGGGAAUUCUCGGCAAUGGACGGAAGGCUGACCGGGCAACGCCGCGGUAGUGAAGAAGGUUUUCGGAUCGGAAAGCUCGGUUGUAAGAGAAGAACGAGUGUGAGAGUGGAAAGUUCACACUGUGACGGUAUCUUACCAGAAAGCGACGGCUAACUACGUG